rnacentral:rRNA from 1 species
AGGAUGAACGCUGGCGGCGUGCCUAAUACAUGCAAGUCGAGCGGUAAGGCCUCUUCGGAGGUACACGAGCGGCGGACGGCUGAGUAACACGUAGGAACGUACCCCAAAGUGAGGGAUAAGCUCUGGAAACAGAGUCUAAUACCGCAUGUGGUCCAAGGAUUAAAGCUUCGGCGCUUUGGGAACGGCCUGCGUCCGAUUAGCUUGUUAGUGAGGUAAAAGCUUACCAAGGCGACGAUCGGUAGCUGGUCUGAGAGGAUGAUCAGCCAGACUGGGACUGAGACACGGCCCAGACUCCUACGGGAGGCAGCAGUAGGGAAUUUUCCACAAUGGGCGAAAGCCUGAUGGAGCAACGCCGCGUGCAGGACGAAGGCCUUCGGGUCGUAAACUGCUUUUAUCUGUGACGAAUAUGACGGUAGCAGAUGAAUAAGGAUCGGCUAACUCCGCGCCAGCAGCCGC